CAGUAGCCGCGGGAAUACGUAGGUCCCGAGCGUUGUCCGGAUUUAUUGGGCGUAAAGCGAGCGCAGGCGGUUAGAUAAGUCUGAAGUUAAAGGCUGUGGCUUAACCAUAGUAUGCUUUGGAAACUGUUUAACUUGAGUGCAGAAGGGGAGAGUGGAAUUCCAUGCGUAGCGGUGAAAUGCGUAGAUAUAUGGAGGAACACCGGUGGCGAAAGCGGCUCUCUGGUCUGUAACUGACGCUGAGGCUCGAAAGCGUGGGGAGCAAACAGGAUUAGAUACCCCAGUAGUCCCUGUCUCUUAUACA
rnacentral:rRNA from 1 species